AUGUAGCCGUGUCCCAGCAGGAGGAUGUGAGAGUAGGGUCCCGGCGGGGGAGCGCUCUGAUCCCGCAGGGAGCUAUGCACAGCCUGGGUUGAACAGACAGAGAGAGCCAACAGCACCAAACCAUGGUCAGCCAUGGAAACUACAGCUCAACUUGGAGCACGGAUCGGGGCCAAAACAUGGAGCAUCAAAGAACUCUGCACAGCGCAUGAAAAAUACGGACCGGAUUCGGUUUUAGUCCUUUCCAUCUUAAAUUGUGAAAGAGGGAAGAGGAGGCAAAGGCAAGGAUGACGGCAUUCCAGCGAAAAAGCUUUUCUGGGGCCUUGCCGGAUCUGUCACUGAUGUUGAGGAACUGAGGAACGGCGGCACAGUCAAGCCAACCAACUUUGGGGAGGAAAACUGAAGGAAGAAAAGAGAAAGAGAAGCAUGUUUUGCCAAAUAGGCAGAGGGGGGAAAAGGAAAUGUGUCUUGAAGAAUGGAUGGAAACAAAAUACACAGCCUCUCAUCGCUCUGUACUGUGUGUUUGUGUGAGAGAGAGAGUCAAAGAGUGGGUGACUUCACUCUUAUCCCAUGCAUACACGUCAUACCACCGAGACACAAAUACAUGCAGACUACAGUGCACAUUUCCCCUCAAUAAUAAAUGUCAUAAAAUACACAUGAUCAAAAUGUACCAGAGACACGUGCUCAAUCAUAACAUAGAGGCUUUCUGAUUGACCCUCCAUCACAUUUAAAUGAGAAAGGGGCAUCAAUCUAGACAAACAAAGCUACCUACCCCAAAUCAAUCAACCCCACCCCUUAUAGAUACCCACACAUUGUAAUGUUAAUAGUUGUGAUAACACCUUCCAAUAACGGGGGUCUAAUUAUCAACAUGUUUGGCUGUUAGAGGGCCUACCUGGCACUCAUCCGUGGCAAUGGCAGGGGGUUGGAACUGGAGGAUCCUAAUGAAGAUCUCAUUCACAGCAGCACACACAGGCCCAGUGUGGGGUAAAGGUAACGAAGAAACAAGUCCCAUUAAGAGCCAACUGCAGAUCAGAUCCUGUGAAUUCUGACACAACGGUGCCAGGAAUAGUCAUAGUGAUACAUUUUGAUUGAUAUCCAAUUGUGAACUCAGGAGUGGAAAGUAUAUGUAGGCUUCAGGGGAGGGCCAUCCUGUGCAACAACAAAAUUACAGUUCUCAACAUGAUUACUUCCUGUACGUAGGCUUACAUGUGGAAAAACAUGGGUUAAAAGUUGGAGGUAUGUGCGCAAUUCUUUUUGUAUUUAAGCAGUUGAUUCGUCAAUCUGAUUAUCCAUCUUUCAGUCUAGCCAUUCUUCUGGUUCAUAGCUUGUUUUCCCAUUCUCCCACAAAGCUCCAAUCAACAUUUCUCAGCUGGUGAAAUGAAGCAUAAACAUUUCGCUAUUACUUUGAGAGUCGAUGGAUUCUUCACAGCUGCAGCCGAGGGCCUGUGAUCAGGAAUUGGAGACAAACAACUGGUGAACAUGCCUGGCCACACACAUCCACCCACUCAUACAGUCACACUGACUCUGUGUGCCACUAUCACACGACUAACUCCUAAACUCAACACCACAAUCACACCCUACCACCAACACACACUAACUCUAAUCCAAACAUGACUGUGUGCAUCCUGUUAUACACAUAGCCAAAUGAGAACAAACAGUAGUAGAUUUUCCCCCAACUUCUUCUUCAGCAAUGUACAACCGACAGUGUACUGGAACCUCAGCCAACAACCUCAGCAUACAGUCUGUACCUCAGCCAACAAUGGCUUUGUUUCUCAGCACUGAUAGACAUUUUCUGAAAGUAAAGUUAUUGGAUUCAAACGUUGAAUAGAGCCAUCAUUACUGUUAUAUUGGGAAACAAUAUUUAUUGCAUAUGUCCUCAUGUAAGCCUCAAUGGUGUUCAGACUGGGUACAUCUUAAUAAACUUUAUGCCACAGAAUCAAAACAUAAUACAGUUGCCAUGGUGCACAACAUGA